UUAUAGACUUAUAGUGACUAUAUUUUUACAUAAAGUUUUCAAAAAAAAAUAUCUUAUUAUGUUAUAAUAUUUUGUUAAUUUUUACAUAAUAAGAAAAUAUAUAAUAUAUGGCUUAGAAUAUUUAAAUAUUAAAUUUUUGUUAGAGUUUGUCUCGAACUUUUAUUGGAUCAAACAAUUGUUUUGAAUUUAACAUUUCUAGUAUCAAAUAAUUGUUAUGUUGUGUUUUUAAAAUAUCAUAUUGUAGUAGAACUUUGUAUGUUGUUAUCAUAGAGAGUAUGACAUCUGUAUAUUAUUCUGCAAAUACUCAAUAAGACCAUCAUUCAACCUUGUUAACGCUUCUCGAAAGUUGUUAUGAAAUUGUCCAUCAUGUUGAAAGUUAGUUUCAGGUGGUCACCAUGAAAAACUGAACUAACUCUUUUCAAGCCAAAUUAUCAUUUUAAAUAUUAAUUAAUAUUAAAAUUCUUCAUAUGAUCUUUUAUAUUACUACUCGAGAUGAGUUCGUCAGUAGCAUUAAGAGUCUUUGUAAAUCCCUCACUAAUCGUAACAAUGCUUUGAUGAGCAUUGUUUGUGCAAAAAAUACACUUUCAUAUCAAGAAUGAUAUUCGUCUUCUCAAAUAUGUCAACAAAUAUAUGGUAAAAUAUGAAAAUAGAGAGAUAUCGUAAAACAAAAUAUUUUACAAUAAAUGAUAUAAUUUUAUUUUUAUGGGAUAAGACGAAUGAAAUUCAUAUAUGUAAUCUUAUCUUUUUGUUUCU
rnacentral:sRNA from 1 species